AGACCCGAAACCCGGUGAUCUAGCCAUGGGCAGGUUGAAGGUUGGGUAACACUAACUGGAGGACCGAACCGACUAAUGUUGAAAAAUUAGCGGAUGACCUGUGGCUGGGGGUGAAAGGCCAAUCAAACCGGGAGAUAGCUGGUUCUCCCCGAAAGCUAUUUAGGUAGCGCCUCGUGAAUUCAUCUCCGGGGGUAGAGCACUGUUUCGGCUAGGGGGCCAUCCCGGCUUACCAACCCGAUGCAAACUGCGAAUACCGGAGAAUGUUAUCACGGGAGACACACGGCGGGUGCUAACGUCCGUCGUGAAGAGGGAAACAACCCAGACCGCCAGCUAAGGUCCCAAAGUCAUGGUUAAGUGGGAAACGAUGUGGGAAGGCCCAGACAGCCAGGAUGUUGGCUUAGAAGCAGCCAUCAUUUAAAGAAAGCGUAAUAGCUCACUGGUCGAGUCGGCCUGCGCGGAAGAUGUAACGGGGCUAAACCAUGCACCGAAGCUGCGGCAGCGACACGUAAGUGU
rnacentral:rRNA from 1 species